rnacentral:ncRNA from 1 species
GGGGAAAGAAGACCCUUUUGAGCUUGACUCUAAUCUGGCAGUGUAAGGAGACAUAAGAGGUGUAGAAUAAGUGGGAGAUAUUAGACUUCGGUUUGGUAUCGACAAUGAAAUACCACUACUCUUAUUGUUUCCUUACUUACUUGAUUAAAUGGAACGUGUAUCAUUUCCUAGCCAUUAUACGGAUAUAAUUAUUAUGUCUUAUGGUAUUGGGUUUUGAUGCAAGCUUCUUGAUCAAAGUAUCACGAGUUUGUUAUAUAAUCGCAAACAAAUUCUUUAAUGAGAGAAUGCAUUUAUGUAUUAUUGAUUUAAAAAUUUGGUAUAACUCCAAUUACUCAGGUAUGAUCCAAUUCAAGGACAUUGCCAGGUAGGGAGUUUGACUGGGGCGGUACAUCUCUCAAAUAAUAACGGAGGUGUCCCAAGGCCAGCUCAGUGCGGACAGAAACCACACAUAGAGCAAAAGGGCAAAUGCUGACUUGAUCUCGGUGUUCAGUACACACAGGGACAGCAAAAGCUCGGCCUAUCGAUCCUUUUGGUUUAAAGAGUUUUUACAAGAGGUGUCAGAAAAGUUACCAUAGGGAUAACUGGCUUGUGGCGGCCAAGCGUUCAUAGCGACGUCGCUUUUUGAUCUUCGAUGUCGCUCUUCCUAUCUUGUGAGCAAAUUCACAAGCGUUGGACGUUCACCCAUGCAAAUCAAUUUGACCUGGGUUUAGAAUACACAGAGACAGUCGCACGUUUCCC